UAAGGAAUAUUGGACAAUGGUCGCAAGACUGAUCCAGCCAUGCCGCGUGCAGGAAGACGGCCCUAUGGGUUGUAAACUGCUUUUGUACCAGAGAAAACCUAUCUACGUGUAGAUAGCUGAUAGUAUGGUAAGAAUAAGCAUCGGCUAACUUCGUGCCAGCAGCCGCGGUAAGACGAAGGAUGCAAGCGUUAUCCGGAUUCAUUGGGUUUAAAGGGUGCGUAGGCGGGCUUGUAAGUCAGUGGUGAAAUCUCUCAGCUUAACUGAGAAACUGCCAUUGAUACUGCAGGCCUAGAGUAUAGAUGACGUUGGCGAAAUACGACAUGUAGUGGUGAAAUACUUAGAUAUGUCAUAGAACACCGAUUGCGAAGGCAGCUAACGAAACUAUAACUGACGCUGAGGCACGAAAGUGCGGGGAUCAAACA
rnacentral:rRNA from 1 species